UAUAUUUUAAUACAUUCUAUGUUUCAAUUCAAAUAAUAUGUUUUACUUUUUAAUCAGUGCUAAGAAAGAAUUGAUAUAUUUUAUUGGAUUAGUAUUUUAUAAAAUUAACAAUAUUUUAAUUAUGUUGAAUUUCAUUUAUUUGUAAAAAGCUCCGCAAAGAUAUACUCUUCUAUUUAAGAUUUGUUUAUUUUAAAGAUAAUUUGAAACAUCAUGAAGUGUUUUCUUAUAUCUUAAAUUCGAUGUUUGUUCAAAAUGUUAUAAAUUGAAAUAAAGGGAGACGUAGUUUAGAGAAGAAUGUGCAAAUACUCACAUAUUUUUCAUAAAAGAUAAAAAAGUGAAUUUAGUUUUGACCACACAUUUAAUUGCAUAAAUUAACUAUUACUAUAUUAUAGUAAGAUAAUAAAAAUUACUCAUAAAUAUUGAAUAGGGGUUUAUCUAUCAAACACAAUAAAUGAUUCCUCCAUAAUUUCAAAACUUCACAUGAUAUAUAUUAUUACAAAAAUUUGCACUACAUAUAAUUUAUGAAAACAUAAUUAAUUACUAAGUACCUAUAAAAAUUAUUUUAAACAACUUAUUUAAAAUGUAGUAUUAACUAUCUCAUGUCAAAUUACUAUACUAUAUUGUUAGCAUCCUAUGUUUACGUUUUAAUAAUGACAAACUGAUGAUUGUAUCUUUACAAGAUAAUUAGACGACUGCUAAUGAUGAAGGGAUGUCCCACACAAGGAUAUGAAGGACCAAAAAAUUAAUGAAGACAAGCAAGAAAGCCGACUCCAAGAAUAGGAGGAUAUCAAAUCAUUAGCUACAAAUCCAAGCGAAUCAAUCAAAACAAGAACAAAAGAAAGGAAAAAUCGCAAUCCCAGAAUCAUGGUAAAUCAGAUCAAUCACAACAAAGGAAAAAGAAGAAAAGAUCACGACAAGAGCAAAAGAAAGAAAAGACCACGGACGAACGUGAGUGAAAAAUCGCGUAUGGACAUAUCUGAUAUGGACAACUAUAAAGUUACUUUCCUCAAUCAAGGAAUCAAUUCAAAUCGUUGAUUGAGAAGAAAUCUCUCAAGUUUCGUUAUGAAGAGUAAGCAGCUGAAGAUUAUAAAAAGAAAAAGACUAAAGAUAGACAAAGGUUACGCAACUUCAAGAAGAAUCUCAAAGUAUCUCAAUCUUAGUCUCACGAAGCUUUGUAACUCUUAGUAUACAAUAUUUGUAUAAAGAGUAGGAUUAAGUCAACUUUGUAACACAAACUGAAGCUAUGU
rnacentral:lncRNA from 1 species